CGUUAGCGCAGCUGGAUAGAGCGUUGGUCUACGAAACCGAAGGUCGGGGGUUCGAAUCCCUCACGGUG
rnacentral:tRNA from 1 species